rnacentral:rRNA from 1 species
AGGACGAACGCUGGCGGCGCGCUUAACACAUGCAAGUCAAGGGGGCCCAGCAAUGGGCAACCGGCGAACGGGUGCGUAACACGUGAGCAACCUACCGAAAUGUGGGGGAUAGCCGGCCUAACGGCCGAGUAAUACCGCAUACGCUCUCGAUGAGGCAUUUCAUUGAGAGGAAACCUACGGGACAUUUCGAGGGGCUCGCGGCCUAUCAGCUAGUUGGAGAGGUAACGGCUCACCAAGGCAACGACGGGUAGC